rfam:Triticum aestivum genome assembly, contig: Triticum_aestivum_CS42_TGACv1_scaffold_591920_7BS
UUUAUACUCCCUUCGUCUCAAAAUUCUUGUCUUAGAUUUGUCUAGAUACGGAUGUAUCUAAUACUAAAACAUGGCUUGAUACAUCCAGACAAAUCUAAGACAAAAUUUUGGGACGGCGGGAGUAUUAC